CGGCCACACAUGCAAGUCGAGCGCCCGGCAACGGGAGCGGCAGACGGGUGAGUAACGCGUGGGGAUCUGCCCGAUGGUACGGAAUAGCUCUGGGAAACUGGAAUUAAUACCGUAUAAGCCCGCAAGGGGAAAGAUUUAUUGCCAUCGGAUGAACCCGCGUCAGAUUAGCUAGUUGGUGGGGUAAAGGCUCACCAAGGCGACGAUCUGUAGCUGGUCUGAGAGGAUGAUCAGCCACACUGGGACUGAGACACGGCCCAGACUCCUACGGGAGGCAGCAGUGGGGAAUAUUGGACAAUGGGCGCAAGCCUGAUCCAGCCAUGCCGCGUGAGUGAUGAAGGCCUUAGGGUUGUAAAGCUCUUUCGCCGGUGAAGAUAAUGACGGUAACCGGAGAAGAAGCCCCGGCUAACUUCGUGCCAGCAGCCGCGGUAAUACGAAGGGGGCAAGCGUUGCUCGGAAUCACUGGGCGUAAAGCGCACGUAGGCGGGUCGUUAAGUCAGAGGUGAAAGCCUGGAGCUCAACUCCAGAACUGCCUUUGAUACUGGCGACCUAGAGUUCGAGAGAGGUUGGUGGAACUCCGAGUGUAGAGGUGAAAUUCGUAGAUAUUCGGAAGAACACCAGUGGCGAAGGCGGCCAACUGGCUCGAUACUGACGCUGAGGUGCGAAAGCGUGGGGGAGCAAACAGGAUUAGAUACCCUGGUAGUCCACGCCGUAAACGAUGGAUGCUAGCCGUUGGGGGAGCUUGCUCUUCAAGGGGCGCAGCUAACGCCUUAAGCAUCCCGCCUGGGGGAGUACGGUCGCAAGAUUAAAACUCAAAGGAAAUUGACGGGGGCCCC
rnacentral:rRNA from 1 species